AUUGAACGCUGGCGGCAGGCCUAACACAUGCAAGUCGAGCGGAUGAAGGGGGCUUGCUCCUGGAUUCAGCGGCGGACGGGUGAGUAAUGCCUAGGAAUCUGCCUGGUAGUGGGGGAUAACGUCCGGAAACGGGCGCUAAUACCGCAUACGUCCUGAGGGAGAAAGUGGGGGAUCUUCGGACCUCACGCUAUCAGAUGAGCCUAGGUCGGAUUAGCUAGUUGGUGGGGUAAAGGCCUACCAAGGCGACGAUCCGUAACUGGUCUGAGAGGAUGAUCAGUCACACUGGAACUGAGACACGGUCCAGACUCCUACGGGAGGCAGCAGUGGGGAAUAUUGGACAAUGGGCGAAAGCCUGAUCCAGCCAUGCCGCGUGUGUGAAGAAGGUCUUCGGAUUGUAAAGCACUUUAAGCUGGGAGGAAGGGCAGUAAGUUAAUACCUUGCUGUUUUGACGUUACCAACAGAAUAAGCACCGGCUAACUUCGUG
rnacentral:rRNA from 1 species